GGUGUUUUGGCAGAGUUGGUCUAUGCAUUGGACUGAAAAUCCAGGGAACAAGGUUCGACUCCUUGAGGCACCA
rnacentral:tRNA from 1 species